CCCACAGCGCCGUCCCGCGGCCCCGCGCGGGAGCUGCGGAAGGGCCGGUCUGUGCUCACCAAACCCACAGGAGCGAAGCAAAGCAAACAAAGGUUUUCUAACAGCCAUCCUCCUCACAGUGCAGCUGCAGUGAGCCACUGAUUGCAGUGGAGGGGGAACACACGGAGCUCCUGCAAUACUUUGGUUUCUGCUCUGUGAGCGAGGCCCUCGUUGCACCAAGGACUCCCAGAGGUGCUCCCAGCAGGCAGAGCACCCACCCACACCUGCCGGGGAGAUCAUUCUGGCGUUACUUCAGCAAGAACUUUUCAGCACACACACACUGAGCUGAUCCUUACCGGGAAGGGCAGGCAGAGCUGUUUCCAGGACACAGACGUUUCUCUAAGAUCUGAAGGCACGAAAACUUGCAGUCUCCAGUGCUGCUCCUGUUUUACCUUAGACACAAACCUGAGCAGAGUUAGACACACACGAGGCUCAGGUACUGAAGCAGAGGUUCACAGCAGUGAACCAGCAGGCCCAGGUGUUAAUUUACAGCUCUCACUGCAAACCCAAACCCAAGAGGGCCACUGACAGCAUCAGAUGAUGCUUCUCCUUGAACAGAAGGCACCAGUCUGUUGCAAAAGCAGCAGUGGUAACCCUGGCACUCAUCUGUUAGGCAACAUCAGAGAGACAGUUUCUCCAUUGUCUUCAGAAAAAAGUGCUACUGAAUUUACUUACAUUGCAACAACAUCUACAGCCAAAAACUUCAACAAAACUGCAGUUUAAUUUCAGAAAAUGUGUUAAAAUAUAUAUAUAUUUGUACAUCAAUUUGACACACUGCGUUAGUUUACACAAAUGAUGGUCUUUCUUGAAAUUGUAUUUAUGAAAUGUACAUUUUUAAUUUAAAUACUCAGUAUACACUGCACUUAAUCUGCAUGUUGCAUUUAUUAAAUACAUUAAAAUCUGCAAUGUAACAAAACGUUUUCUGCAUACGAAAUUCAAAACACCAUUUUAAAUGAACAAAAGAUGGCUCACUUCAUUUAUUUGUUUUAACAACUAGUGCCUAGCACACUAGCUCAGCUCCACCAACACCAGCUGUUCUUUCUCUUUAUUGACAUUGUUCACAGACUAGUACAUAUUACACUAAGAGUGCUGGAUAAAAACAUGAGGUACGAAAGUGGUUCAAAGAUUACAGGUCAUGCAGAUCAUGCGAGACAGCAAAGAAAGUCGUGAAUGAGAAAACACUAAAUAAAAAUACAUAGAGAAUGUGCAUUAUAAAA